GGGACUAAGCCAUGCGAGUCAACGUAGAAAUACGUGGCAUACGGCUCAGUAACACGUAGUCAACAUGCCCAGGGGACGUGGAUAACCUCGGGAAACUGAGGAUAAACCGCGAUAGGCCAUGAUUUCUGGAAUGGUUCAUGGCCGAAAUCUAUAUGGCCCCUGGAUUGGACUGCGGCCGAUCAGGCUGUUGGUGAGGUAAUGGCCCACCAAACCUGUAACCGGUACGGGCUCUGAGAGGAGGAGCCCGGAGAUGGGCACUGAGACAAGGGCCCAGGCCCUAUGGGGCGCAGCAGGCGCGAAAUCUCUGCAAUAGGCGAAAGCUUGACAGGGUUACUCUGAGUGGUUCCCGUUAAGGGGAUCUUUUGGCACCUUUAAAAAUGGUGCAGAAUAAGGGGUGGGCAAGUCUGGUGUCAGCCGCCGCGGUAAUACCAGCACCCCAGUGG
rnacentral:rRNA from 1 species